GAGCAAUCUUGGUGUUCUUGCCUGGUUGGGACAAUAUCAGUACUCUCAAUGACCUUCUCAUGGCUCAGCAAAUGUUCCGAUCAGACCGGUUUGUUAUCAUCCCUUUACACUCCCUCAUGCCAACUGUUAACCAGACACAGGUUUUUAAAAGGCCUCCUCCUGGAGUUCGAAAGAUUGUGAUUGCUACCAAUAUAGCUGAGACCAGG